GGGGUCUUGUGAUCCUUCUGACUUUUUGAGUUUACCUGGAGAUUCCUUCUUUUGGAGUAUUUGGUGAGCCCUGGACUUUGGGAUGGGUUAGGCAAAUGUAUGGGAACUGCUGAAUCAUGGACUGAGACCCUGACUGAUCACCUGAGCACAAGCUGAGAAGCUUUGUAUGAAGCAGAAAGCCCCAGCAUCACAGCGAUCAGUCAUCCUGGC
rnacentral:lncRNA from 1 species